AAGGUUUCCGUAGGUGAACCUGCGGAAGGAUCAUUACCGAGUGUAGGGUUCCUAGCGAGCCCAACCUCCCACCCGUGUUUACUGUACCUUAGUUGCUUCGGCGGGCCCGCCAUUCAUGGCCGCCGGGGGCUCUCAGCCCCGGGCCCGCGCCCGCCGGAGACACCACGAACUCUGUCUGAUCUAGUGAAGUCUGAGUUGAUUGUAUCGCAAUCAGUUAAAACUUUCAACAAUGGAUCUCUUGGUUCCGGCAUCGAUGAAGAACGCAGCGAAAUGCGAUAACUAGUGUGAAUUGCAGAAUUCCGUGAAUCAUCGAGUCUUUGAACGCACAUUGCGCCCCCUGGUAUUCCGGGGGGCAUGCCUGUCCGAGCGUCAUUGCUGCCCAUCAAGCACGGCUUGUGUGUUGGGUCGUCGUCCCCUCUCCGGGGGGGACGGGCCCCAAAGGCAGCGGCGGCACCGCGUCCGAUCCUCGAGCGUAUGGGGCUUUGUCACCCGCUCUGUAGGCCCGGCCGGCGCUUGCCGAACGCAAAUCAAUCUUUUUCCAGGUUGACCUCGGAUCAGGU
rnacentral:rRNA from 1 species